CCCCCACCGUUACACCUUAACACCGCCCCCCCCCUCCCGCCGCUGAAUGCUCUCGCGCCGCUUUCCCGCCGCCACCUGCUCUCAUUUCUUUAACUCGUGUCAUUCCCGCCGCAGCCCCGUCAGUCUGCUGUUUAUUACGUGUGCCAAGCAUUUUGCUCCUCUUGUGUUUCAGGGAGCGGGAACCUUGACAGGAGACAUGGAAGUUCACUUACGCAGACAGGAGCAGCCCGGAGGCGCAAACAGAAACCAUCGGCUUCAUGAUGUGCCCCCCCCACCUCCGUCUCCCGGGCCCCGUCUCUACCUCCGGGGCCCCGUGACGACUGGCGUGGUUCAUCACGGCGCCCGCGCGCGGUGGCGGCCAUCCCCGUGCUGCCGGCGGCCAUGUUUGAUGAAUGCUGAUGCGCCACCUGAGGUUGGCACUGAGCUGAGGGGGAGACGAACGCAGACGGGGGAGAAGGAGCAAUAGGAGCCGACAUGAUGAGAGUGUGGAGCAGCUUCGUGAACGAGCCGCCCGGUGACAUCAUUCUCCUGUUUACAGCACCGAAUCCGCUGGACGGCGAUUGUCUAAAACAUGCUGCGCUUCCAGAUGAACAUCAAGGGACUGUGUUAUGCUGCAACUGUGAUUUCAUUGGACAUUUAAAAAUAUUUUUCCCCUGCUUUGAAAACUAGACAUCAUUAAAAUCCAUUAGAAGCAACAUAACUGCCGUUCUUUCAGAAGCAACAACCACCUUCCACAGUCGAUGAGGUUGGUAAUUUGGGGCUCACAUAGUAUUAAAAUACAGCAAUUUAAAUGUGUUUAUGGUAACAUAUCUUUUAUUUACUUGGAGGCAAAGCAGUAGAAAUUCUUUUUCCUCCGCCCGCCUUCCACUGCACGGCAGAACAGCAAAAAGGGUUUCGCGGCUGUCAGGAGGAGUGUGUCUCUAAGAUCACAUUUCAGGUUAAUGACUGUUCACGGCUCGCCAGCCAGUCGCGUGGUGAGGGAGCACUUUUGACGCACUAAAGGGGAGCAAACAGGUGCACAAAGAGGCGGGAUGGGGCAAAGGAAGCGAGGUGAAACCGGCGGCAUCGAAGUCGAAGUCGGGCAGGCAAACAAGGAACUGUCGGGCGGAUUAAUUGGGCUCCAACGCACCUUCUCAGGCAAAAGUUAGGGUUGGCUAUACAUGUGGGUGGCUGUGCGCAUGUGUGAACAGGUGUGACGCCGACGCUCCGAGGACUAUUCAUCCCAACUCCGGCGUGUCUGAGAAUGUGCGGGUGUGUGUCGGCGUUCCCUCGUAAUGUAUGUCAGGCUCGCCGCGAGCAGUCGGUUUCAGGUUGGUCUCAUUACUGAGGUAAUUCCUCCGGAGCAACAGCUCCAUAAUGGCAGGAGAUAGUAAUGAUCCUUUAAUAGCCCUCCUCAUUGCCCACUGGCCAGAUCCUAAAACCUGAUUUGCCUACUGUGCUCCCACUGAUCCAGGAAGAUGAAUAGAAAACUAACCAUCAUUAUAUCUGCCAGGGAAAUCAAAUCAGAACACCCAUAAUCUACUUCUCAGCACCCACCUCUUUGUCUCAUUUUCAAACUGCUCAGUCUAUGCAUCAUCGCUAGUUUUCCCUUUUCUCUCCCUCCGCUCAUGUUUUGUAUUUCCUCCUUCGUCCCGUCCUCAUCCUUCUCAUUCUUUCGCUUGGCUUUUGUCUCGGUCUCAAUUUCUAUACUUCAAAAGGCAUCGGUAGAUUGGCUUCUAUUUUAUUGGCAUUCGGGGGUAAUGAGGAAUGAGCGCAGCAACCAAAGCAAGCGGCUAGACGGGGAACUGGGCUAAGUAGCCUAGCGCGCGGCCGCUCAUUUGCGAGCAUGCUCUGCAGCAGGGGGGGACUCGCGUCUCAGUCCCAGUAGGUCCAGUUCAGCGCGCUGCAUUGAUAAGGAUUUUGUUAUCAUCCUUCAAAAGUUUCUAAGGAAACAAUGGCGAAUGUUGGACUCGAUUGUGUUGUGGGUCCGCGUGCAUGUGCGGACACAUGCAUGUGCAUGUCCAGCACUCCCUGUUAUCUGCAGUGAGAAAAUCGAGAGAGGCCGAAAAACUCCACACUAAUCUCCUCCACAUAUGGUUGGGUUUCUCACAUAUCCUUGAUAAGAUUUAUAGGGAUUAGUUUGUCCCCCAAAAUAGUCAGAGUGUGGAAAAAUGGCUGUCUGGAGGGUCCUUUAAUCUCUGAGCCAUCGGCUCUGCUGACACAACAGGCCGACACUGAGGAACUGAGACCAUUUCUUUGUUUGGUUCAGAAAAAAAAGAGUGUGCAGGAGUCAUGUCUGCUACUUUAACAAGCAGGGGAUAAAUAGGACAGAGAAUGGAUUUACAUGCGUGGGUGCACGUGUCACUGAACAGCCACUGUACAGUCGGUGGCUGUUGUCCCUCAGGUCUGCAGUGACUCACAUGAUCCAUUGCUGAACAAUCUAUUGCCUCUGUCUGUCUCCUCGUCGUCGAUGUGUUCGUCUAAAUAAUUCAGCUCAAACCCGGGCUAGUCUUUAAUCACAUGUCACUACUUCUCCUCACUGAUGGCUCCUCAACACAUUAUUAUAACUACGUGGGGAAAAUUACACUGUGCAUCUUCUUUCAUCUCAAACUAUGAUAAGUUACUGUAUAGACUUCAUCCACAUGUUUUUACCACUGACAUGUCUUGGAAUCAGAGCUAACAUGAAUGAAGAGACGCCAAUGAGAUGUUCCUGCCUUGGUUCCAGUGCACGUCUAUUUUGGUAAUAUGGUGCAUAAUAAGAUUAUUACACUAAUGAUAUAAUGUCACAAAUUGCGCCACGGGAAGCAAGAAGGAAGCUGUGAUGGAAUUCAAGUCCUCUCAAUAGGAGACACGGUGCAUAUGGGCUACGCAGACGGGUCAAGUGAAUUGAUUUGUCAGGGCCAGCGUCUCCUGGAAACAGAUUUGUUGGAGGGUGUCAGCGUGCGGUCUGGUGCAUGCAUGUUUGUGUGCGUGCCUGUUUGUGUGCGUGCAUGUUUGCGUGCGUGCAUGUUUGCGUGCGUGCGCCUCCUUGGAAAGCUCGGUGGUCUGCAGUUUCCCCACAGUUGCUUGGCAGCUUCGCUCUACUUUUAAUUAGAGAAAAAGCAUCUGCAACAAGGGGCACAGCUGAAGGAG